AACGAACGCUGGCGGCAUGCCUAACACAUGCAAGUCGAACGAGACCUUCGGGUCUAGUGGCGCACGGGUGCGUAACGCGUGGGAACCUGCCCUUAGGUUCGGAAUAACUCCCCGAAAGGGGUGCUAAUACCGGAUAAUGUCUUCGGACCAAAGAUUUAUCGCCUUUGGAUGGGCCCGCGUUGGAUUAGCUAGUUGGUAGGGUAAAAGCCUACCAAGGCGACGAUCCAUAGCUGGUCUGAGAGGAUGAUCAGCCACACUGGGACUGAGACACGGCCCAGACUCCGACGGGAGACAGCAGUGGGGAAUAUUGGACAAUGGGCGAAAGCCUGAGCCAGCAAUGACGCGUGAGUGAUGAAGGCCUUAGGGUUGUAAAGCUCUUUUACCCGGGAUGAUAAUGACAGUACCGGGAGAAUAAGCUCCGGCUAACUCCGUG
rnacentral:rRNA from 1 species